rnacentral:rRNA from 1 species
UGGGGAAUCUUCCGCAACGGACGAAAGUCUGACGGAGCAACGCCGCGUGUAUGAUGAAGGUCUUCGGAUUGUAAAGUACUGUCAUUGGGGAAGAACGGUUUUCUUGAGAAUAUUGAGAAGACAUGACGGUACCCAAGGAGGAAGCCCCGGCUAACUACGUGCCAGCAGCCGCGGUAAUACGUAGGGGGCAAGCGUUGUCCGGAAAUUAUUGGGCGUAAAGGGCGCGUUAGGCGGGCCUUUAAGUCCGGUGUGAAAGAUCAGGGCUCAACCCUGAGAGUGCAUCGGAAACUGGAGGCCUUGAGGACAGGAGAGGAAAGUGGAAUUCCACGUGUAGCGGUGAAAUGCGUAGAUAUGUGGAGGAACACCAGUGGCGAAGGCGACUUUCUGGACUGUAACUGACGCUGAGGCGCGAAAGCGUGGGGAGCAAAACAGGAUUAGAUA